rnacentral:rRNA from 1 species
CACGUAGGGGGCGAGCGUUGUCCGGAUUUAUUGGGCGUAAAGAGCUCGUAGGCGGCUCAGUAAGUCAGGUGUGAAAACUCCAGGCUCAACCUGGAGACGCCACCUGAUACUGCUGUGGCUAGAGUCCGGUAGGGGAGCAUGGAAUUCCUGGUGUAGCGGUGAAAUGCGUAGAUAUCAGGAGGAACACCUGUGGCGAAAGCGGCUCACUGGACCACAACUGACGCUGAGGCGCGAAAGCUAGGGGAGCAAACAGG